ensembl:lncRNA
UUGUUGUCCUACACUGUCUACUGUCACGCACCAACCGCCAAGACAAAUUCCUUGUAUGUUUGACAUAUUUUGGCAAUAAAUGUUUCCUUAUUCCUGAUUUAAAACGGCACAAUGCUGCUGCCUUAAAUGAGCCCAAGUAAUCUAAGUAUGUUUUUCACAAUGUGGUGUAGUUUAGUUAACAGCAUUACCACCCACCUUAAAAAACUAUUCUGUUUCAAACUUCUUGAAAGAGCAGUUUAGUUGCGUUUCUCUAAAUCUUAAACAUUGUUCAAAUGUAUUGUGUGUGUAUUAAAGUCUAGAUUAUAUUGUUCCUUUGGGUCAAGGAGCUCCAUUAAAACAUAUCAGUGAUGACUUGUUCCUUCAUUGUCAUGAACGAACACCGUCAAAUGACAAAACAACAAAUCCUACCAUUUCAUUGUUUGAUACAAAAACUACUGUGCUGUUUCAAUUCUUUAAGGGAAGUUAUAAAGUAAAAGUACUUCCUUUUACAUCUUCAGGUAGCUGAAAAGUUUAAAGACUAAAACUGGUUCUAAUCCAACAUGAAAGCUUUUCAGUUUGAGCUCUAAUCUUAAUCUUUCACUUGGAGCAGCUGCUUUGCAUUCGUUUAAAGGUUCAGUUUCUCAGCGAACACAAGGAUUCUAGAAGUUACAUCAGAGAAGUUCACGAAGUCAGAAGCUCAAAGAAUCAGGAUUCCGGACAAAUCUGUGGAAUAAUGUAGUUUAAAAGUAAAAAGGGCAGGAGGAAGGAGAAAAAAAAAACUUUGAACUCUUGUGUGAGCCUUCGGAUGGUGACGUAAGCUGUGACAAAGAGAUCCAUGCACCUCGAGUCUGUAACGCAAAAGAAAAGGCGUGAGAUAGAUAGCACACCGUUUUAUUAGUAUAUUUAGCUUUGUGACAUACAGCUCGGGAGGAAAAACAAAAACAAAAAAUAAACGGUCACAAUUUUUUUGAAGUCCAGAAACAUUUCAGCCUUAGCAGGGACAUCACACAAAAGAAAGCUCAGUUCUUGGAUCAUUGAUUUCUUUGUCAUGGACCAGAGUGAUAUGUUCUCGUUGUGCUAAACAAAAAUGUCUGUACCGCUCAAACAGUCAACAAAUAAAAAUAAAAAC